CCUGACUUUUCGUCUCUUUUAUCCACGCCAUGCCCCCUUCUUGGAGGGACAGCUCGGCCCCCUUAUUACGGGAGACAGGAAUUCCAGCAACACCCACUUUGGCACCGAGAAGCGAGCGGGCGGCGAGGGGAUUAACCCGUGAGGAGCUGCGGGUGACGCAGGGCAGACCCGGGGACUGGAAGGACCAUGACGUCUGCGUGGACAAGUGCACCUGAACCGCUGAUCUCCUGUCUUGAGCAAGCUCAAAUUGUCCACCUGUCCUGAAUGUAUUUCCUGCUCCUGACCUCACGGACUCAGAUUUGGAACAAGGCUGCUUCUCAGGCCUGAUGGAGGCUGGGAGGGUACCCAGACCGGAGUAAAGGGGACAGAGUCUGAGGCAUGCGCGCCUGGUCCCGUCGCUUCCGCCCUUGGCCGCUGGGGGCGCUAGGCGAGAAUGCAGGUGUCCCUGGGGCAGCAGCCAGGAGCCGGACACCUAUGGGGAAGGUCAACUGGGGGCGCGCGCCCUCUAGUGGAGCUAGUCGCACGCUUGGCAGUCGGGCCUUGUAGAGACAGGCUCUGCCAGCUGCCUCAGCUCCUUGAUCUUCAUCAGCUUCCUGGAGCGUCAAGGCUUGGCCUGGACCUGUGGUGAGGAUGGCUGCCGCUGGAAAAGAAGUCGGGAACUAUUUCGCUGGAGAAUAAAGCCUCAGUACCUGACACUGGCCUACAGAACUCUCCACGCCCGGCUGACUCUCUGGCCUAGCCUGAAUUUCUGGAAGUCUGCCGCCCAUUCAGCCUCUCACUGCCAGCCUCAGCCAAGAGCCUCAGCAGACAUGCUUCCCUCACCACCCGGCGCCCCUCCCACUCCUCAUAUGGCCCAGGCGCUGUGUUAAUCACGCUCCGCAGAAUGACUCAUGCAGCCGACCUGGAGAACAUCGUCACUGUGAUUUCCAUAAAGAAGAGUGUGAGGCUGGAGACAGUUACUGGCUUGCCCGAGACCACGCAACUUGUUGAUACGCAGCAGACCCAAGAUUUGAGCCUGGCUCACCGAAGCCCAAGCUUUUAAGGCCAUAUCAUCCAGAGCUCCCAUCACAACCAAGCGGGACCUUCCCAACUACCCCCACUGUUGUGACCACUAAAGAAUCUCCUGUGCAUAGUCUCAAAUGCCUCACCCAUGCUGGCCUGUUACCUAAAGAACUGGGGUGAUCAGAACAUUCUGCUCCACUGAACCCCAUCUGCACAGUCCGAGAAGGGGUUAACUGUUCCUAGCAUGGCCCCUGACUCACCAUGUGUCAUUUCCCUGUCACUGAUGAGGCAGGAGAAUGCUGUUAAGCCCACUCACACAUUUGUGGAGUCUGGAGGGAAAGCAUUUCUGGAAAGCCCUGAAGAAUCACUUUUAAAGGGUCAACAUUGGUCAGGACCCUGCCCCACCAAGGGAAGGGCAGUCUGCUGGACACACGGGCAACCUAAUUGCUUUCCCAUGUCUUGCUGGAGUGGUGCUGGCAGCCAGAGAGCUACCAGAACCUGAACUAAUUUGGUAAAUAAGGACCAAAAACAAGGACCGCAUUUCUGCUUCCUUUGCUGAGACCCAGACUCCCCACAGAAUUCCAGAGAUUUUUCUUUUUUGGAAAUCACUGGACCUCCAGCCCUGAAUUCCUCUCCCCAGGAGAGCCUGUUCCCCUGCUCAGAACAAAUAACAUAUUUUCUGGUUAAUUGGAAGUCAGGAGAGCUUGAAGAAGGGUGAUUGGGGCCCCAGUCUUCCAGAGAAGUCAGCUCAUGGGCUCAGUGUCCUACAGACACCGGGCAGCUGGGACUACUGCGUGGUACAGCUUCCAUCUCAAGUUCUGAAAAUGGAGGUGGUACAGGAUGAGCCCCCUCUCUCUGAUGACUUCUAUGCCCAUAGAGAAUGUCUGGCAGGCUCUUUGAUGAAGCAGGAAACUCGAAGGACAGUCUCACGUUUUGAUUUAGACAAAGGCAACUUAAAGGAGAAAGGAUUGCUUUUGACUCAUGGCUUGAAUGUGGAAGAUUCCUGGCUACAGGAACUUGCAACAACUGGUCACUUUGCAUCUGAAGUCAGGAAGCAAGGACCGAAGAAUGCCUGUGUUCAUCAUCCAUUCUGUGCGGUCCAAGAACCAAGCCCAGGGAAUAAUGCUGACCUCCUUCAAGGCAGUUCCUCCCACCUCCAGUAACCUAAUUGAGAUAAUCCGCAGCAGGGGUUCUCCAAACCAAAACUAAUCUAAAUAAUGCUGAAGCAGUGUGCCUGCAGUCUUCCCUCCGAGGUUGAUUCCAGACCUUGUCAAGUUGACAAGUCUGCAUUGACCCUCCUAAAUGCAAACAUCACCAGUGGCCCAGGCCAGCUGGAAGAGUGUUUUUCAAACUUCUAACCAUAACUCACAGCAGGAAGCCCAUCUUGCAACAUGGCUAGCUAUCCAGGGACAUAUAAUCACUGAGAUGAGGCAUCCCUGUUCACUGGGAGGCAUUCUCAUGAUUUCUAUUGCCUCUCUUCUGUUUUACAUUUUAAUGUUGGUCAUGACUCACUUCAGUGAUUUCACAGCCCACAGACGGACUGCAAUGCUCAGCUCAGCCCCGGAGUUCCAGACAGGAGUCAGGAAACUUGGGACAAGCCCAAAGGCAAGGUGUGACGCAGAAGCCAGCAUGGACAAUGCAUAGGACCCAAGAAGAAAGACCCGGAAGCCC